ACUCCACUACGUACGGUUCAUUUCACAAUUUUCAGCCUUUUGUUAAAAAAAAAAAAAAAAAAAAAAAAAAAAAAAAAAAUUGGGAAAGAUUUCACCGAGGGUAGCUGCAAAUAUUUAAGGAUGUCUCUGUGUGAUGGUAAAAAUUCGUGGCCGGAGCUGGUCGGAAAACAUGGAAAGAUGGCGGAGGAGACGAUUGAGCGAGAAGUGCCUUGGGUAAAUGCUAAGGUUGUUCAAGAAGGAACCACUUUUGUGACUGCUGAUUAUAGAUGUGAUAGGGUUUGGGUUUGGGUUAACAAACAUGGCUUUGUUACUAGGAUUCCCAUUAUUGGUUAAUUAAUAUUACCCUCUUCAAUAUCAUAAUAAAACUCUCUCUCUCUCUUUCUCUCUUCCUAAUUAA